rnacentral:ncRNA from 1 species
CUUAUCAAGAGUGGCUUAGGGACGGGCCCGUUGACGCCACAGCAACCUGCGUUUUGCAAGGUGCUAAUUCCCGCGGAUCUUCCGAGUGAUGAG